rnacentral:rRNA from 1 species
GAUGAACGCUGGCGGCGUGCCUAAUACAUGCAAGUCGAGCGAACAGACGAGGAGCUUGCUCCUCUGACGUUAGCGGCGGACGGGUGAGUAACACGUGGAUAACCUACCUAUAAGACUGGGAUAACUUCGGGAAACCGGAGCUAAUACCGGAUAAUAUAUUGAACCGCAUGGUUCAAUAGUGAAAGACGGUUUUGCUGUCACUUAUAGAUGGAUCCGCGCCGCAUUAGCUAGUUGGUAAGGUAACGGCUUACCAAGGCGACGAUGCGUAGCCGACCUGAGAGGGUGAUCGGCCACACUGGAACUGAGACACGGUACACUCCUACGGGAGGCAGCAGUAGGGAAUCUUCCGCAAUGGGCGAAAGCCUGACGGAGCAACGCCGCGUGAGUGAUGAAGGUCUUCGGAUCGUAAAACUCUGUUAUUAGGGAAGAACAAAUGUGUAAGUAACUAUGCACGUCUUGACGGUACCUAAUCAGAAAGCCACGGCUAACUACGUG